UACGAAGGGGGCUAGCGUUGCUCGGAAUUACUGGGCGUAAAGCGCACGUAGGCGGAUUGUUAAGUCAGGGGUGAAAUCCCGGGGCUCAACCUCGGAACUGCCUCUGAUACUGCAAGUCUCGAGUCCGGAAGGAGGUGAGUGGAAUUCCUAGUGUAGAGGUGAAAAUUCGUAGAUAUUAGGAAGAACACCAGUGGCGAAGGCGGCUCACUGGUCCGGUACUGACGCUGAGGUGCGAAAGCGUGGGGAGCAAACAGG
rnacentral:rRNA from 1 species